rnacentral:rRNA from 1 species
CGUAUACAAUCUGCCUUUACAGGGGGAUAGCCUUUCGAAAGAGAGAUUAAUACCCCAUAAUACAUGAAAUAGCAUUAUUUUAUGUUGAAAGCUCCGGCGGUAAGAGAUGAGUAUGCGUCUGAUUAGCUAGAUGGUGAGGUAACGGCUCACCAUGGCCACGAUCAGUAGGGGAUCUGAGAGGACUACCCCCCACACGGAUACUGAGACACGGAUCCG